AUAGAAGAUGGUUCUCUGCCUUAAUUUAGUUUUUGUAUUACAUUUAAAGCUUUGUAAAAUUUGUUGAUAUACAUGCUAGAGGAAAACAAACCUCUCCAAGAAGAAAAUUUUCCAUUUGGGAGUAUUGUCUUGUUCUAAGUGAGGAUUAUCAAAGCCAGCUGGAACCGCAAGGUUCAAAUCAUCAUCUUUGAGAAUGAAGAUGACAUCUCCACAAAAUUGGUUCCUCUCCUAGGGAACACAGGCACAAAAUGUGUA